UUAAUUCACUGCCCCCUUUUUCUUUACAUGCAAAACGCGUCAUAACCGGGAGUAUCCGGUUGUCUCUUCCGGUUAUUACUCAUCUAAAAAAAAUCUCGCUGCUUUUGCCUUUGAACAGUUACCGGUUGCCUCCAUUCACUCCCUAAUUUCCUCCGUCCCUUUUAAUUCGGUCAAAGCGGUGCCCAGAAGGCAAUGGAACAGUCGAGGCUCUCCAUGACUCCACUUCUUUCUCUUUUAUUUCCACCGACCCGGUUAAAAAAACAGCCCCCAAUGGCCCUCCGCCGGAGGCUGCUCACUCCCCUACCUCUGGUAUCCAUCUGGGUGCACGUCGACUGGCGAGCUUCCGAAGCCGGUCAUGGCAUCGUGGUGAUGUGUGCCGAUCUUGCCGCUGCGCCAUACGGAGUUGGGGUGGCGGUGACGCCAUCGGUCAGGAGGUGGAACAGCGAGCCGGGAGCACCGUCGACGGAGACGCCCACGGCGGCGAGCCGGCGGCCAGCGACUACACGCAGCGGUGCGUAGAGAAAUGAGACUCGAGGUCCUGAGCCCGUUUUGCUGCAGGGAUAGGCAGUUGUGGAGUUGCAGAAAGCCGAACGAUGGAAAGUUGCUACUGGGGAAGAACGGAGUAGAGUACGGGAUGUGCAUCUCAGUAAACCGAGUUGAAAUCUUGGGAAAAUAUCUUCUCUAGAUGACUUGCAAGCCAUACCAUGAAAUCAAGCGAGGACACCAUCUGUAGGUGUUUGCAAAGAAACAUUAAGGAAACUGAGUGUUCGAGGGGUUUGAUUGCAAGGUUACUUCUUAGUUGGGUCACAUCUUAUGAGGUAUUGCUCAUACAGAUGCAUGAGCAUCGUCAAUCAUGAGACCACCAGCGGAUUGCCAAUAUCAUCUACCAGAUUGAUCUACAUGUCGUGACAUCCAUUUCGUUGGAGAAUUUUACUGCCAAACAAUAUGCAGCAUCACCUCUAAGCAGUGCUUUGUACGCAAGCAUUCAGUUGUGGGAUAUCAGGAUAUGGUACUGUAUAUUGGUAUCCAACAUUGUUUACUUGAGGACCGGUAGCAUUUUGGGGUGCAUGGUUACUCUAGUGAGCAUAUCAUUGUGCAUCUCAACAUGAACACCAAAAUGGUGAUCUACCCACCCGCCACCUAAGGGAGUUAGGGUGGUAGCGAUGCCACCGGCGUGGAGGUGAAAUGGCGAGCAGGGAGCACCGAGGACAAAGACACCCACGUCGAACACAGGUCCGCGGCGACCAUCGGUUACGCGCGGCGGUGCGUAGGUACGUCACCUGACCUC